rnacentral:rRNA from 1 species
AUUGAACGCUGGCGGCAUGCUUUACACAUGCAAGUCGGACGGCAGCACAGAGAAGCUUGCUUCUUGGGUGGCGAGUGGCGAACGGGUGAGUAAUAUAUCGGAACGUACCGAGUAAUGGGGGAUAACUAAUCGAAAGAUUAGCUAAUACCGCAUAUUCUCCGAGGAGGAAAGCAGGGGACCUUCGGGCCUUGCGUUAUUCGAGCGGCCGAUAUCUGAUUAGCUAGUUGGUGGGGUAAAGGCCUACCAAGGCGACGAUCAGUAGCGGGUCUGAGAGGAUGAUCCGCCACACUGGGACUGAGACACGGCCCAGACUCCUACGGGAGGCAGCAGUGGGGAAUUUUGGACAAUGGGCGCAAGCCUGAUCCAGCCAUGCCGCGUGUCUGAAGAAGGCCUUCGGGUUGUAAAGGACUUUUGUCAGGGAAGAAAAGGCUGUUGCUAAUAUCAAUAGCUGAUGACGGUACCUGAAGAAUAAGCACCGGCUAACUACGUG